CCUACGGGAGGCAGCAGUGGGGAAUAUUGCACAAUGGGGGAAACCUUGUUGCACCGAGGCGGGGGGAGGGAAGAAGGUUUUCGGUUGGUAAACUCCUAUAGGAGGGGAGGAAGGAGGUGCAGGUCCCGAAUUAGGAAGCCCGGGCUAACAACGUGCCAGCAGCCGCGGUAAUCGGUAGGGGGCAGGGGUUACCCGGAAUCACUGGGUGUAAAGGGGGCGAAGGCGGUAGGGCAAGUCGGAUGGGAAAGCCCGGGGCUCAACCCCGGGAUUGCAUUUGAAACUGUCUUACUAGAGUGCAGGAGAGGAAAGCGGAAUUCCUAGUGUAGCGGUGAAAUGCGUAGAUAUUAGGAAGAACACCAGUGGCGAAGGCGGCUUUCUGGACUGUAACUGACGCUGAGGCACGAAAGCGUGGGGAGCGAACAGGAUUAGAUACCCGGGUAGUC
rnacentral:rRNA from 1 species